GGCCGAUGUACUAGCGCUGGUGUUGCCAC
rnacentral:sRNA from 1 species